AGUAGAGAUGGGGUUUCGCCAUGUUGGCCAGGCUGGUCUCAAACUCCUGACCUCAGGUGAUCCACCCACC
rnacentral:miRNA from 1 species